rnacentral:rRNA from 1 species
GAUGAACGCUGGCGGCGUGCCUAAUACAUGCAAGUCGAGCGAACGGACGAGAAGCUUGCUUCUCUGAUGUUAGCGGCGGACGGGUGAGUAACACGUGGAUAACCUACCUAUAAGACUGGGAUAACUUCGGGAAACCGGAGCUAAUACCGGAUAAUAUUUUGAACCGCAUGGUUCAAAAGUGAAAGACGGUCUUGCUGUCACUUAUAGAUGGAUCCGCGCUGCAUUAGCUAGUUGGUAAGGUAACGGCUUACCAAGGCAACGAUGCAUAGCCGACCUGAUAGGGUGAUCGGCCACACUGGAACUGAGACACGGUCCAGACUCCUACGGGAGGCAGCAGUAGGGAAUCUUCCGCAAUGGGCGAAAGCCUGACGGAGCAACGCAGCGUGAGUGAUGAAGGGCUUCGGAUCGUAAAACUCUGUUAUUAGGGAAGAACAUAUGUGUAAGUAACCGUGCACAUCUUGACGGUACCGAAUCAGAAAGCCACGGCUAACUACGU